rnacentral:rRNA from 1 species
AUUGAACGCUGGCGGCAGGCCUAACACAUGCAAGUCGAACGGAAGAAGGGUGCUUGCUUGUGGUUUCGGGGGGGGACGGGGGGGUGAGGCAUGGGAAUAUCCCUGGCUGGUGUGUAGGACGUCCUGAGGCAGGGGCUAAUACGGCAGGAGCGCAGAGGGCGUAAGUGGGGGGGCGUUGGAACUUACGCGCUGAGGUGAGUCGAGGUCGGAUUAGCUAGUUGGUGGGGUAAAGGCCUACCAAGCCGACGAUCCGUAGCUGGUCUGAGAGGAUGAUCAGUCACACUGGAACUGAGACACGGUCCAGACUCCUACGGGAGGCAGCAGUGGGGAAUAUUGGACAAUGGGCGAAAGCCUGAUCCAGCCAUGCCGCGUGGGUGAAGAAGGCCUUCGGAUUGUAAAGCACUUUUAGUGGGGAUGAAAGGCAGUAGGCUAAUACCCCGCUGUUGUGACGGUACCAAAAGAAUAAGCACCGGCUAACUUCGUG